AUUGAACGCUGGCGGCAUGCCUUACACAUGCAAGUCGAGCGGCAGCGCGGGGGCAACCCUGGCGGCGAGCGGCGAACGGGUGAGUAAUACAUCGGAACGUGUCCAGUAGCGGGGGAUAACCUGUCGAAAGAUAGGCUAAUACCGCAUACGACCUACGGGUGAAAGCGGGGGACCGCAAGGCCUCGCACUAUUGGAGCGGCCGAUGUCGGAUUAGCUAGUUGGCGGGGUAACGGCCCACCAAGGCGACGAUCCGUAGCUGGUCUGAGAGGACGACCAGCCACACUGGAACUGAGACACGGUCCAGACUCCUACGGGAGGCAGCAGUGGGGAAUUUUGGACAAUGGGCGCAAGCCUGAUCCAGCCAUGCCGCGUGAGUGAAGAAGGCCUGGUUGUAAG
rnacentral:rRNA from 1 species